UAGUUUUUACAACUGAUUAGAGUUUUUAGAUAAUUAGUUAAGAUCAUACUUCACAGGACCAUUACGAGCCAAAGUUUCGUACUCUGAGCGUUAGGCAGACACAUUGAUAAUAUUUUAUAUUAGCGAUGUUGUCAAACGAUGAUCGUUCGCUUGAGUGCUAACCAUUCAAAUCAUGGGUUCGAAACAUUCUGAGUGGU